rnacentral:rRNA from 1 species
UACGUAGGGUGCAAGCGUUAAUCGGAAUUACUGGGCGUAAAGCGUGCGCAGGCGGUGAUGUAAGACAGAUGUGAAAUCCCCGGGCUCAACCUGGGAACUGCAUUUGUGACUGCAUCGCUGGAGUGCGGCAGAGGGGGAUGGAAUUCCGCGUGUAGCAGUGAAAUGCGUAGAUAUGCGGAGGAACACCGAUGGCGAAGGCAAUCCCCUGGGCCUGCACUGACGCUCAUGCACGAAAGCGUGGGGAGCAAGCAGG